ACACUAUUCUUUUGUAACAAAAGUGAGAACCCUUUGUUUUUAUCAUCAAAUUUGUUUAUUUAUAUAUUUAAUGUUCUCAGCUGUAACAGUGUAGUACAAAUAGACCUUUUUUGUGUGGCAAUAGAUGUUUUUGGUAGAGCUGUGUGAGAAACCAAUUGACAACUGUGUAAUGUAUUGCAUCGACGGAUUUGUACGCAGGAUUUAAGGAGAAAGAGAUGAAGAAGGAAGAAGAAGAAUAAUUGUAAGUAUUCAAACCCGAAAAAGUGUUCUGUAAAGAUUUGUUCUAUGUUGUCUGUUCUAAUUAAGUUGUAGAUGCAUGAUCAGGAUUCAGGGUAAAGAUCAAUUAAGUAUGUUCUUAUCAUGUUUGCUAAUUAAACUCAAGUUUGUGGUACUUUACAAGUAACAACGCCUUAUAAUUAUCCAUAUAUACAUUAUUUGAUGUUAAACAACAUCAAAUUUUUGUGCCGGGAUGUUAUUAAGAAAAGAACUUGGUUCAAGUUCAAAUCUUUUUACAAUAAUUUCAGUUGUAAUAGUGUUCUCUUUUAAGAUCUUGAUCAGUAGUAAGAAAAUAACUUUUAGCUUCUAUCCAAAUGAAAAAAAAACAAAGCCGGCCUUUUGCUUAAGGCAGAUAUAUGUAACAUUAGCUUUAGAUAACAAUCUAAUUAAGUUAAAGCUGGACCACAUUUCUAAAUUUCUUUGUUUGUCAAGUGUUCCUGUUUUAGUUGAUUACUUUAAAUAUCUCCAUAUGAAGACUAAUUGAUUGAUUGUUCUUGUUAAAAAGUUUCUUUCUUAUUUUCAUUUCUCACUCUCUUCUCUUGUAAGGCGUUUUACACGUGUCCAAUUUUAUUUAUCAUAUAAAUUACCAACUAAUGCUUACGUAAUUAUUAUUUCAUCAAGACAAUCAUACAAAAUUUAGAAAAUUGCAUUAGACCAUGUAAACCGUAACCUAAUGAAAGGAAAAGCUAUUCCAAAGUAUUUUAUUUUCUGUACAUGGCAAAUGAUUUAUGCUUAAAAAGGUGUAGAUUGUGUAUCUUAAAACCGAACUAUAUAGAUUUCAUAUAUGUAUUUGGUUCAUAGCAGUUAUAUUAAAUCUGGUAUGGUAUGACCAUAGAUACUUGAAAUGGUUGUGGUUACAUAACCAAAUUUAAACAUGUACGUCCUGAGAUUUGAAAAGAUACACAAGUUAUAAGAUAGUGGCCAAAUGGUAUACCAUAUAUAUGUAUGAUAUGUAAAUGGAGAUCAUGAGCAAAAGUAGUAAGCAGCAAAAGGAAAAGUAGAAACAAAACAAAUUGAGCAAAACUAAAAGAAUCUAAGCUCGUGGCCUUGAAGACAACAUCCCAAUAAUAUCCAUUAUCUUCGCCUUUGUUACUUCUCCACCCUUCUUUUUCUCUUCUCAUUAAAUAUCUCUUCUUCUUUCUUUGCUACUCCAUUUCAUUUUAUUAUUCCAUGAUCCACUAUAUAUUUGAUUCCAAUACUAAAAAUGUUUACUUCUCGUUAGAAGGACGUAACAAUCUCUAUCUUCAGUGUUCAUUCGAAUUGGUUUUUAGAAGAUAGAACACAUAAAAGCAUACAUAGUCGUUUUGAAGCAGAUCCCAAGAAUAGUCUUCUUUCAAGAUGUCCAAGAAAAGAAAGAAAAACAAAUGAUGGCAAGAACGUUUAACGAGUAUCAAUGUAUCAUUGUAUUCACGAGAGUUGUGACUUGUGAGGUUGCUAUAUGUAUCACGGUGACUCAAAAAAAGUUUCCCUUUUUAUAUACGUGAAUUAUAGGUAAGUUUGCUUAUUUGCUAGCUAAAAUAUUUAAUAUAUUGGUUAAACUCAACAUCCAAAGGCCAAAAGAAAAACAAAAAUCAACAGUAUAUGAUCUACAAUUAUCACUUUAGAAAAUAUUGUAUAAGUGAGUUCUUUUGAAUAACUAAUAUAUUUAUCCAGAUAAACAAAUUUUGCAAGUGGGUUUAAAAAUAAAUCAAAGAAAAUUGUAUAAUAGUUUUAACAUAAAAUAUUU
rnacentral:lncRNA from 1 species